rnacentral:sRNA from 1 species
UGAAUUGUUUGAUUUUUGAUAUUCGCUGUGACGAUCUUUUGGGCCUAUUUUGAAGGGCAUUGUUGCCAUUGAGCCUAUAUGGGUAUAUGUGAUUUUUUUUUUUGGUUUUUG